GCGCCACCACCAUGUGGCUCUCGAUUUUUCCUUUUAAAAGUUUAAGUCCAUCAAGGACUAACAGUUUCAAACUUAACUUAGGUUUUUCAGCAAUUUCUGCACGCUGUGUGAAAACGAAAGGGUCAUACUUGAGGAAAGCUUACACACUCUCAGGUAGGCUUGUAGGUACGAACAGGUGUGCAAUUCUUCUCAUUGAUAUCACACUUUUGGUUCCUUCCGACAAAUUUCUCUGUGCCCAUUAAUUAAUACAGGGUCCCACGUCCGUAUCAUUUCUUUUGGGGUGUAAAGGGGAGAUAAAGAUACACCAUCGUUGACUUCUCAGAGAAAAUCUGCUGUGUCAAAGCCUGCACUGGAUACAGGCUCCCCAGACAUACCCCCCAAUGCUGAAGAAAUCAAGAGCAAAAGCUCUGAUUGAUGUUCACUGGAGUAUCGUUAAGUGUAAAAACUAGUGUGACAAAUACACAGAGUGAAAACAGACACAACUCCCUGUAACCAGGAGAAGGUGGCACACGCCAGGUCACAGCCAGAGCAUCUCAGUGCACAGGCCCCCGUGUCUCGGAUGUGCCCUGUGUUGUUGUGGGCAUACGUGGUGCAAACAGGUGUGAGUCCAUCCACGGGGGAGGGGGGGGGGACACACUGCAUCUGGGUGACGUCCACAGAGCAGCGGAAUACAACUGUGAGUUGUGUUUAUACUAAGAUACGAUCCAAGUGUGUGUGUGUGUGUGUGUGUGUGUGUGUGUGUGUGUGUGUGGCAGGGCCAAGCACUGGAUGGCUUCAGAGUGCCCCAUUCAAUCUGUCCACUUCCCUCUUUGAUGCCAUGCCACGUUACAAAAGCAAUCGGGCCACAGUCAUCUUUUUUUUCUCUCCCCCCCCUUGUUAUUAUGACACAAUCUCCCUUUUCAGUCUUAUCAUUUUCAUUAGUUUUUGUAAAAGGCAAUGAGCGUAACAAUACAUGUUUGGUAAAAACAGUUCUUUGUCGCUAUAUUUAAUCAUUUUGUCUUUAAAAAGAAAAAAAAAUAAAACAACAACAACAACCCAAAACAAACAAGCACACCCCCCCUUGGGGGAGGGAAAAAAAAAAAACCAACCUUCCCUCUGCUUGAUGCCAUAGACAAGAGUCCAAAGGACAUUAGCUGCUCCGUUGCACACAUUGGAGGCAGAGUUUGCUGCGGGCUCUGUCUCCCUAAUAGACUGGCGAUUUUGUAAAAGGUUUGAGAGGGUUUUGUUUAACCAUUUCUGCAUGUGUUUUUAAUGAGCUCAUGAUGAUUCGUAACAAAGGCCAGGUUGUAAGGUUUGCAGUCUUUUUUUUUUUUUUUUUUUUUUUUUCCGGACUUGAUCGCUUCCCGCUGACCUGCAGAGUGAGCACCUGUGCUCCUUGCCUGGCUCACCUAUGGGAGUCACGGCGGUGGGGCCAUCUCCGGGCCUGUCUUCAUGCCAGGGAUGAAUCAUGCAGUGGGCAGGGCGGAAGGACUCUCUUUGUUGACAGCUUUCCAUCUGGACUUUGGAUACGGCCGGCCGUUCAUGGAGAGCCUGGGUUAGCUGGGAAGGUCUGCUCAAGUCAGCUCCUCGAUGAAGGCCCGGGGGCAGUAAAACUCCAGCAAAGGAACUGCCUAGCAUUUCAGCUGCAAAUUCAGAGAGGCGGCCCUCCCAGCUCCAGGUACCCAGCCUUCCAACUUGAGUCUAGCCCAAAGCCUGCACUCUAAUACAUAUCAUACUUGAUAUUAAAGUGAGAAGCGGGUAAUUUAUAGGAGCUGCGUGAGAGCUGUCUUCUUUUCAGGGCCAGCCUAUGUGGAAUCGACACCUCUGUUCAGUUUCUCCACAGAGCUUCCUCUGGACAGCUCUCAGCCACCUUGCAUCACAGGGCCUUGCAUACGAAAAGGCUAAUUGUGAUCCUUAAGCAGCCUUCAAAGGAAAGCACGCAACAACAGACUGCUGCCCAGACUACGGCCCCUCUCAUAAGAGUCCAUGGAACCCAACUGCAAAUACUGAUCUCCUUUAUUGAAUACUGACCGAUGUGCCUUGUGAGCUCAGCGGUGGGUAGUCAGACAGUCGGAGCUGAGAACAGAGAAAGCACCUCCUCUCUACUUGUUUGGGGCCCAGAAGAGAGGUUCUGUGUCCACGAAGAACUCUGCCCUGGCACAGAUACACCAACUUACCGUAUAAAUCUUUGCCACCAUGUUUGAUGCGGCAUCUAGAACCAACCAAAUUCUGCCUCGAUUUGGCGGCCGAGGAGUUCAGAUUGAAGUGCCUAAAGAGAGUCUUUGGAAAAGCCACAAAGCAGGGUGUCGACUCAGUCAACUUUCUGUUUAUUGUAGGUAAGAAAAAUGAGGCUCAGAGAGGAGACGUGACUGGCCCAGAGUCACACAGCUGGCUUUUAGUGAAGACAUGAGACUUGGUAUUUUCCCCCAUGUACUUCCAUGUCCAUGUACCAUGUACUCUUGGUGCUACUCAGAGCGGUAAAGGGGAUGCUUGCACCCUACAUCACCCUGGCUCAGGGAAAUGCUCAUAUUCACUUCAUGUUUGGUGGAGAAAACUACAGUGUAAUUAUUCUGACUGUGCAUGUGCUCUGGGGUACCUGUGCCUUCUAAUGGGAGCUAGACUUCCCCGGGGCCACGUGGACAAAACCUGGCCAGCGGCCUCAGCCCGACCAACCGCAUCUCCUCUUUGUGUUGAGGACUCAGUUUAUAUUUCAUUGGCGUCCUGAGCUAGGGGGUGGGAGGUGCUUGCUUUCCUUGGGAAUGUGGAUUUGAGGUUCAUGGAGCAGGUUCCGAUCUAAGAAGGAAACUGCCUCUCACUCGCUGGAGCCUUUCUGGACUGUGUAUCAGACUCUCUGUAUUUGCCACCAACUUGGUUGUUUUCAGAAGCACCUCUUUGCACAGGUCUCAAGGAGGUGCGCCUGGUGAUGUGGAUCAGGCAUCUUCCAUGCAGACUCCCAAUCUCCAGGAGGGUGCUCACAGGCCUAGAUGCUGUAGCAGAACCCCCCCACCUCUCCAUCCCCCUUUCUUGGAGUUGAGGGGGAGGUGAGAAAGGGGCUUGGCUCUGUGCCUGGCACACAGCGAUCCUCCGGGAAGGCGCCAGCUAUUACUACAGCUACUGUUGGUAUUACUGUCACAGCUUCCCACAGGCUGCUUCCUGCCAGAGCUGCGACCUGGUGGGGAGGGAGUGAGAUGGGAGAUAGGAGCCAUGGAGUGCGGAGGUCACUGCCUUCCCAGGCCUGGCCUGGAGAGACACCCUGCCGCCCUUCCCAGCCUCCCUUGCUCCCUCUGCAAGGUCAUUCCUACACACCAUGGCAUUCACUACCUGCGACCUGAGUGUCUGUUCCCACUCACUUUGGGGACUGCGAGACCUACUGCGAAUUGGACAUUUGACGGUGACUCACAUCAGCUUCAGGAACGUGGUGGUUCCCAAGAACUGUGAUACCGAAGAAGCAAGGCUCCCAAGGGUAAGGUGACAUGCCCAAGGUCAUACGGAGUGAUGGGUUGAACUGUGUCCAGCCCCAAAGCUGGCACUGCAUCUGCUUGCUUAGGAACGCCUGCUGCAGAGAACCAGACACACUCACCGACACUUUGCCAUUGAUGGGAGGGGAGUGAUUCUCCUUUGCGAUUCUUAGAUUCUGGGCUUCCCAGAUACCUUCCAACGAGCCUGCGUUACCAGUGGUCACUAACAGUGUACUAGCUGUCUUAGGUAGGGUUUCUAUUGCUGUGAAGAGACACCAUGACCCCGGCAACUCUUAUAAUGGAAAAA